rnacentral:misc_RNA from 1 species
GGUUUUUUUUUAUACUUUAAACAUUGAUUUUAUUUUUUAUGUUUUUAGAUGUUCAUGUUUUUGAAUGUUUUAUUCGAAUAAUAUAAAAAAUAAAAUAUAUAUUGACAUGGAUUAAACAAAGAUAUAUAUUAUUCUAUGUUGUAUAAACAAAUUGGCAAAAUAGAGAUGGAAGAUAA